GAGAGAGCCGUGCGAGAGAGCUGGGUUGGGGGAAAAUCGGUCAUUUGUGUCCGGGAACGCAAGAAAUCCUCUCGCCUCGUCCUGAACUUAUGAAAAGUAAUAAUAACAAAAACUUGUUAUGUUAAUCCCCGUUGGUCCGUUAGGGGAAAAAAAAAGUUGAUUCUAAAAUAAUGGAAAUUGAAAAAGUGUCCUGAAAUUGCUUACACACAGAAUCAAAGAAUUGUAGGGGUUGGAACCUCUAGAGAUCGUGGAGUCCAACCCCUCUGCAAAACAGGCUCUCCGCAGCAGGCUAAGAUGUCUCAAAAUCAAACAGACCAGCACGAAGGACAGCCAUAAAUCUAUGGGUCCCUAUGAGAUGCAUCACAGAGUUGUGAGGAAAUUGGCUGAUAUAGUUGCCAAGUCACUCUCAGUGAUAUUUGAGAAGUUGUAACAAUUAGGUGAAGACCUUGAUGACUGGAAGAAAGGCAGUGUUACACCUGUUUUUAAGAAGGGUAAAAAGAAUAACCCCGGGAACUAUCGACCUGUCAGUCUCACCUCUGUGCUAGAAAAGAUCAUGGAGCAGAUCCUCCUAGAAGCUUUGCUGUGGUGAUAGAACAGGGGGAAAUGGCUUGAAGUUUAAAGAGGGUAGAUUUAUGUUGGCUGUAAGGAAAAAGUCUUUUUUCUUACAAGAAAGUAGGACGGUACACUGGUAGCACUGGAACAGGUUGCCCAGUGUUGUGGUUGAUGCCCCAGACUUUCAAGGUGAGGGUGGAUCAGGCCCUGGGCAACUUGUUUGGACUGCACAUUGCAGCUCAAGCCUUGUCCAUUGCAGGGGAGUUGGACGAGAUGACCUUUAAAGGUCCCUUUCCAACUCUAAGGAUACUAUAAUUCUAUGAAAUAAAGUAUGCAUGAGCAUGAAGAAUUUGGCAUGUCGACCUUGGAAGAUCUGUCAUAUGGCAGGAUACCAAGGCUGCGGUCCUGAACUGAUCUUCACUGCUGCUGUACUGCUGACAACAAUUUGAAAUGUGAGGUAACAAAUAGCCAUAAAGCACUACCCACUAGAACUCCUGUGAGGAAGGAAGCUCAUGCUCUACCAACACAAAAUACUCCUCUUGUUGCAAACAGAAAAAAAAAAAAGUGAAAUACCAGCUGGAAUGUAUCUUGGAGGCAGAGUUACAACAGAUAGUUCAAAACUCAUAAAGAAUUCAUAGCUGAGCUACUUGUCACUGUGAACCUCAGUCAUCUCAAGAAUAUGGCUACUAUUGAGUCUGCAAAGGAAAUGUCAGAGUCCAGCUUCAAACAUCAUUUGAAGAAUCACUGAAGCCUUGAAAACAUUCCUGGCCUUUUUGCACACUUAGCACAUUUAUUUAAGAAGGAAAGUAUACGGAGGGGGAAAAAAGUCAAACUUGCUAUACUUAAUAUACUGGCCAUUACAAAAGCUUCCUGAUCAAUUAACUUGAAAUUACACGUAUAAGAAGUCUGAAUGUUCAGGAGAAGUGCAAUGAACUGUUGUUGCUUUAAUAAGGAAGCUUGUUCUUUAUAGAAACUAAUUUAAGCAUUUUUUGUCACUUGGUUCUUGUGAUUACUAGUUUUGCUGUGUUGGUUUUUUUUUUCUUGUUCAAGGUAAGUGAAAUACUACAAGCUGUUUUGAUUUUUUUUUUUUUUUAAGAUAUGUAGUAGAAAUGGGUGAGAAGGGUGAGAAAUCUUAAGGUAUGAAGUGAGUUAUAUUGAAGGAAUAAUGAGUAGGGUUCUUGAGUCUGAAAGGAGAAGCAGAGUAUAAAAUAUUCAAGUCCAUCUACAGAGUCAUAAAUGGUAUCAAAAUGUGCAUAAGGAACAAUUAUUUAUUACCCCUCUAAUGAUAAAGCAGGUAUCAAAGAGUUGUUGCAUGUUUGACAUAGUAUAAAGUGACAGAUAAAAAUUUAGACUCAAAAAGCUACAAGGAAAACAGAAGUGACACAAAGAUGUUAUGCUCCAUUUGGACAAGACCUGGGUCAGUAAGUGGAAUUUGAGAUAAUAUCUCAAAGAGAUAAUGUUUGCAUGCUGUGAUUUUAUGCUUUUAACAUCCACACUUGGUCACCGUUGGAGAUGAGCUGUUGAUGUGUUUUUUUAUUUUUUUAUUUUAUUUUAUUUUUUUUCAUGUGUGGGAUCCAAUUGGCUGUUAAACAUGCGGAAAAGGACUUUUAAGACUGAUUUCAAGGAUCUGCUGAAGACAAGCCUGUUGAAGUUACUGCCUCUAAAAGAGGUGAAACUGCUACAAUUAUGGAAGGAGAAAUCCGUAUUCCAUGCAAUAAGAUUCUUUCAUAUGGAAUAAUUUCUGCAAUCCCAGUGGACUUUAUAUGAAGUGGAUGCAUAGACCUAUAUCUCUAUAUCUCUACCAAAUGCACCUAUUUCAGUGUUGGAUCACAUCUGGUUUUUUUUUUUGUUGUUGUUAUUUGUUUUUGUUUGUUUGUUUUAUCAUUAUGAAACUUAAAUUUGAUUUUCCAAGAAGUGAGAACUAAAAAGGAAACCAACCCAAUCCACAGAAAAAAAUAACUGCAGCAUGUUGUACAUAAAUAUCUUUCAUAAUGACCCAGGAAUGUUUGGAUAAAAAGCUCUUGCACAAUGAAAAGCUUUUGCACUGUUUUCUAAGGUCUGGAAGUUAAACUCACUGUGAAUUUUAUAUGAUGUCAGUGCAAUACUUUUAUUUGUAAGGGUGCUUUUAAAAUACCUGUGUAAAACUACUGGUGCAAAGUUAUGAAUGCAGAAGUUGUUAAUAGUGUAAAUACAAGAUUUACAGUGACUCCUAUGAAGUUUCAUAAUUAUUUGGGAAUAGCUUGGAAUUUGAGGUUUUAUAAGUACAGAAGUAAAAAUAGUGAUGUUGGCAUUCCAAUUCUUUCUUCAUAGUUACAUAUAAUGUAAUAUGAUAAGAGGAGGCUUUUGAAUUCAGUUAUGAUGCAAUAACUUUUUCUAAUGCUGAAGCAUAAAAAAAAAACUGUAGACUGAAAAGCACUCUGAUGCUUUACCAAAUUUGUAUGUAGAUGCAACUGAAAUUAGAAGAAGCAUGUAUAAAAGAUUAAUAUUAAAGUUAAUGAUAUCUAAAACUCAUGUAUGCGAUAAAUGUUUGUGUUCCUCUGUUUCUGCACUAACACAAAGAGUUUGAGACCGCCAUUGGCAUUUAUGGUAGGCUUUGCACUUUUAAUGCAUGAUUGUUUUUAUGCUGUACCUUAUUGAAUACAAGAGGUGGAUUUAACAAGAGAGUUUACUCAGAAUACUGUGGCCGCAUUUUCUCGUGAGCCCAUUAAAUAUCUUUCAAUGCUCUCUUGAAAAUGACUGGACUAACUUCUAUGUGCAUUCUAUUUCUUUAAAUAUUUUCCAAAUGCUGUCAGUCUUUUAAUAAGUUCACAUAGACACUAGAUGUGGAAAUCCAUAAUUUCUUUACUAAAUGCAGAUGUUAGGAGUUAGAGCUGUAUCCUCCUUUUAGAGAACUGCAAUGUGACACCACUAUUUUUAUUACAGUGGUCUGAUUAAAAAAAACCAAAACCCUCCUCCCUAAAACCUACAUAUCAUGGUUUCAGUGUCUUUUCCAAGACAAUUUUUCAUUUCUCUGUUCUGAAAAGUUAUUUUUCCUGACUUACCUGUAGCUUCAAUUGUUAAACUGAGUUUUGAGAUGUAAAAUGUCUAGUGAGUAGAAUAGCAGCUAUAAAUUAACCCAAAACUUGUGCAGCCAUUCGCGUACUAGCUCUGAUGACAGUUUUCUCUAAUUUAGUGUUGCAGUUAUAAUUAUCAAAGUAAAUUGAGUAGGACUUUUUACUGCAUGUUACAACGAAUCUUCUAUACAGUAUCAGAUUCUUAGUGAUUGUGAUAGAUGGUUGUUAGAAUGACAUUUGGCUGCAGAGAGUGUCGCUCUAAUUAUUUGAGAUUCAAAUGUUUACAAUUAUGAACAGUAUGUACAAUUUCAUUUUAAAUAUAGGAGCGGGCACAUAAAAAAAUAAAGAUUGUGUGUUCUUCA